rnacentral:rRNA from 1 species
AUUGAACGCUGGCGGCAUGCCUUACACAUGCAAGUCGAACGGCAGCGCGGGAGCAAUCCUGGCGGCGAGUGGCGAACGGGUGAGUAAUAUAUCGGAACGUGCCCAGUAGUGGGGGAUAGCCCGGCGAAAGCCGGAUUAAUACCGCAUGAGACCUGAGGGUGAAAGCGGGGGAUCGCAAGACCUCGCGCUAUUGGAGCGGCCGAUAUCAGAUUAGCUAGUUGGUGGGGUAAAGGCCUACCAAGGCAACGAUCUGUAGUUGGUCUGAGAGGACGACCAGCCACACUGGGACUGAGACACGGCCCAGACUCCUACGGGAGGCAGCAGUGGGGAAUAUUGGACAAUGGGGGAAACCCUGAUCCAGCAAUGCCGCGUGUGUGAAGAAGGCCUGCGGUUGUAAAGCACUUUUGGCAGGGAAGAAAAGCACUGGCCGAAUACGCCAGUGUGUUGACGUAACCUGCAGAAGAAGCACCGGCUAACUCUGUGCC